GAUCUCAAAUCAGGUAGGACUACCCGCUGAACUUAAGCA
rnacentral:rRNA from 1 species